CGAGCUGGCCGGGCAGUCGCUGUUCAUUCUGGUUGUUUAAUCAGAGUGGAGGGAGGAAAGUCCGGGCUCCAGAGGGUAGGGCGCCAGGUAACGCCUGGGGGGCGAAAGCCUACGGAAAGUGCAGCAGAGAGUAGACCGCCUAAGUCAGUAUUCUUUUUUGACGCUUGUUGGAAAAGAAGCAGGCCGGUAAGGGUGAAAGGGUGCGGUAAGAGCGCACCGCAUGGCUGGUAACAGUCCAUGGCACGGUAAACCCCGCCUGGAGCAAGACCAAAUAGGAAUCCUAUAGGUGUGUCCCGCACUGGAUUCGGGUAGGUUGCUUGAGGUGUCUGGUGACAGGCAUCCCAGAUGAAUGACUGCUCAGGCCUGCUUUGGCAGGCUGGACAGAACCCGGCUUACAGGCUGGCUCGCGUC
rnacentral:RNase_P_RNA from 1 species